rnacentral:rRNA from 1 species
CCUACGGGAGGCUGCAGUGAGGAAUAUUGGUCAAUGGACGAGAGUCUGAACCAGCCAAGUAGCGUGAAGGAUGACUGCCCUAUGGGUUGUAAACUUCUUUUAUAUGGGAAUAAAAUGUUCCACGUGUGGGAUUUUGUAUGUACCAUAUGAAUAAUGAUCGGCUAACUCCGUGCCAGCAGCCGCGGUAAUACGGAGGAUCCGAGCGUUAUCCGGAUUUAUUGGGUUUAAAGGGAGCGUAGGUGGAUUGUUAAGUCAGUUGUGAAAGUUUGCGGCUCAACCGUAAAAUUGCAGUUGAAACUGGCAGUCUUGAGUACAGAAGAGGUGGGCGGAAUUCGUGGUGUAGCGGUGAAAUGCUUAGAUAUCACGAAGAACUCCGAUGGCGAAGGCAGUUCACUGGACUGCAACUGACACUGAGGCUCGAAAGUGUGGGUAUCAAACAGGAUUAGAUACCCUUGUAGUC